rnacentral:sRNA from 1 species
UCCAGAGGCCGUAGUUUCUUUUGGACUCAAUUCCAAAGACAGUGACAAGACCCUGUGGGGAUCCUCGCCUGAUCAGGAAGGGGUCAUCCGCAAGGGCUGGCUGACUAUCAAUAAUAUUGGCAUCAUGAAAGGGGGCUCCAAGGAGUACUGGUUUGUGCUGACUGCUGAGAAUCUGUCCUGGUACAAGGAUGAUGAGGAGAAAGAGAAGAAAUACAUGCUGUCUGUGGACAACCUCAAGCUGCGGGACGUGGAGAAGGGCUUUAUGUCGAGCAAGCAUAUCUUUGCCCUCUUUAACACGGAGCAGAGGAAUGUCUACAAGGAUUAUCGGCAGCUGGAGCUGGCCUGUGAGACACAGGA